rnacentral:lncRNA from 10 species
CACAGGUGUCAGAGAACGCGAGAGGUUUCUGAAGGAGGUUUUUCUUCCCCCCUUGGAAGAUGAAUUGCAUUUUAUCAGUUAUCUCAGAGAAGCACUUUGAAAUGAAGUAAGGAAAUAAACAUGGCUCUACAUUUUUAAACAGAUGAUUUGUUACCAGACUAUGACCAUAAUGGAAAAAAAGCCAACUCCCUUGAGGUUUCUGAUGCCAAGGCAUGACUGCACAUUGAAUGUCAUCAGAGUUCUCCUGGCUGGUUACAUGUUCAUUGUGAAUCUGCAAAGCGGGGGCACUACUCAUUGUUGUCACUCACGGGUAGAAGAAGCCAAUGGAGGCUCGAUUUGGACAUGAACUUCCCAGGGACUAGAGAAUGCGGCGCUUAAAACUUCUGCUAAAUUAUGUGUUUCCUUUGUGCUUCCAUUUCUUUGGCCACAGCAAGUCACAUGACAUGAUAGGAAACACAACCCUCCCACAAAGCCAGUGGAGAACUGGAAUCUUUGCAAAUGGCCCUCAAGCCUGUCAUCUAUGUGCAUGGUAACAGGAGAGGGAAUUGGAAAGGUGAGUUAGGGGCUGCUUUCUGAAGUUGUGUUUGCAAAACACACAAACCAGUUUAAUAUGGUCAGGCUUUGUGUCCCUGCCCAAAUCUCAUCUUGAAUUGUAAUCCCCAGAUGUUGAGGGAGAGACCUGGUGGGAAGUGACUGAAUCAUGGGGGCAGUUGCCCCCCUGCUGUUCUCAUGAUAGUGAUGAGUUCUCAUGAGAUCUGAUGGUUUUAUAAGGCAGUUUUCCCUGCUCUUGCUAGCUCUUCUCUCUCCUGCUGCCAUGUGAAGAAGAUCCUUGCCUCCCCUUUGUCCUCCAUGAUUGUAAGUUUCCUGAGGUCUCCCCAUCCAUGUGGAACUGUGAGUCAAUAAAACCUCUUUCCUUUAUAAAUUUCCAGUCUUGGGUAGUUCUUUACAGCAGUGUGAAAAUGGACUAAUACAUAGUUUUACCUUUAUUUUGUUUCUGUGAGGUGUUUUUCAGUUGAAGGUAUUCAUGG